ACUACGGAGUGAAGUCAUUGAUGCCAUGCUUCCAGGAAAAGCCUCUAAGCUUCAGAUAGUCAGGAAUCGUACCCCAAACCGACACAGGUGGUCGGGUAGAGAAUACCAAGGCGCUUGAGAGAACUCGGGUGAAGGAACUAGGCAAAAUGGUACCGUAACUUCGGGAGAAGGUACGCUCUUGAUGGUGAAGUCCCUUGCGGAUGGAGCUGACGAGAGUCGCAGAUACCAGGUGGCUGCAACUGUUUAUUAAAAACACAGCACUGUGCAAAAUCGCAAGAUGACGUAUACGGUGUGACGCCUGCCCGGUGCCGGAAGGUUAAUUGAUGGGGUUAGCGCAAGCGAAGCUCUUGAUCGAAGCCCCGGUAAACGGCGGCCGUAACUAUAACGGUCCUAAGGUAGCGAAAUUCCUUGUCGGGUAAGUUCCGACCUGCACGAAUGGCGUAAUGAUGGCCACGCUGUCUCCACCCGAGACUCAGUGAAAUUGAAAUCGCUGUGAAGAUGCAGUGUACCCGCGGCUAGACGGAAAGACCCCGUGAACCUUUACUACAGCUUGGCACUGAACAUUGAACCUACAUGUGUAGGAUAGGUGGGAGGCUAUGAAGACGUGACGCCAGUUGCGUUGGAGCCGUCCUUGAAAUACCACCCUUGUAUGUUUGAUGUUCUAACUUAGACCCAUUAUCUGGGUUGAGGACAGUGCCUGGUGGGUAGUUUGACUGGGGCGGUCUCCUCCCAAAGAGUAACGGAGGAGCACGAAGGUGGGCUAAUCACGGUUGGACAUCGUGAGGUUAGUGCAAUGGCAUAAGCCCGCUUAACUGCGAGAAUGACGGUUCGAGCAGGUGCGAAAGCAGGUCAUAGUGAUCCGGUGGUUCUGUAUGGAAGGGCCAUCGCUCAACGGAUAAAAGGUACUCCGGGGAUAACAGGCUGAUACCGCCCAAGAGUUCAUAUCGACGGCGGUGUUUGGCACCUCGAUGUCGGCUCAUCACAUCCUGGGGCUGAAGUCGGUCCCAAGGGUAUGGCUGUUCGCCAUUUAAAGUGGUACGCGAGCUGGGUUUAGAACGUCGUGAGACAGUUCGGUCCCUAUCUGCCGUGGGCGUUGGAAGAUUGAAGGGGGCUGCUCCUAGUACGAGAGGACCGGAGUGGACGAACCUCUGGUGUUCGGGUUGUGUCGCCAGACGCAUUGCCCGGUAGCUAAGUUCGGAAUUGAUAAGCGCUGAAAGCAUCUAAGCGCGAAGCGAGCCCUGAGAUGAGUCUUCCCUGAUACUUUAAGUAUCCUAAAGGGUUGUUCGAGACUAGAACGUUGAUAGGCAGGGUGUGUAAGCGUUGUGAGGCGUUGAGCUAACCUGUACUAAUUGCCCGUGAGGCUUAACCAUACAACACCCAAGGGGUUUUGUA
rnacentral:rRNA from 1 species